AUUGAACGCUGGCGGCAGGCUUAACACAUGCAAGUCGAGCGGGGGAAGGUAGCUUGCUACCGGACCUAGCGGCGGACGGGUGAGUAAUGCUUAGGAAUCUGCCUAUUAGUGGGGGACAACAUCUCGAAAGGGAUGCUAAUACCGCAUACGUCCUACGGGAGGAAGCAGGGGAUCUUCGGACCUUGCGCUAAUAGAUGAGCCUAAGUCGGAUUAGCUAGUUGGUGGGGUAAAGGCCUACCAAGGCGACGAUCUGUAGCGGGUCUGAGAGGAUGAUCCGCCACACGGGGACUGAGACACGGCCCAGACUCCUACGGGAGGUAGCAGUGGGGAAUAUUGGACAAUGGGGGGAACCCUGAUCCAGCCAUGCCGCGUGUGUGAAGAAGGCCUUAUGGUUGUAAAGCACUUUAAGCGAGGAGGAGGCUACUUUAGUUAAUACCUAGAGAUAGUGGACGUUACUCGCAGAAUAAGCACCGGCUAACUCUGUGCCAGCAGCCGCAGUAA
rnacentral:rRNA from 1 species